GCGCAGCAGUCGCGAAUACUUUACAAUGCGGGAAACCGCGAUAAGGGGACACCGAGUGCCAGCAUAUUAUGUUGGCUGUCCACAUGUGUAAACGGCAUGUGUUAGCAAGGGCCGGGCAAGACCGGUGCCAGCCGCCGCGGUAACACCGGCGGCCCGAGUGGUAAUCACUUUUAUUGGGUCUAAAAGGGUCCGUAGCCGGUUUGAUCAGUUCUUCGGGAAAUCUGACAGCUCAACUGUUAGGCUUCCGGGGAAUACUGUCAGACUUGGGACCGGGAGAGGUAAGAGGUACUACAGGGGUAGGAGUGAAAUCUUGUAAUCCCUGUGGGACCACCAGUGGCGAAGGCGUCUUACCAGAACGGGUCCGACGGUGAGGGACGAAAGCUGGGGGCACGAACCGGAUUAGAUACCCGGGUAGU
rnacentral:rRNA from 1 species